GGCGACCGUCCCUCAGACACCCCCCCCCCACUUACCUGCAGUCCUGGACCGUCACCCCUGGCCCAGGGUCUGUGGGAGGGGAGAGGGGCAGGCGGUGGGGCUGGCCAGUGCCUAAAGCCCCAGGGAGGGGUCCUGGGGCUGCGCAGACACAGGCGCGGGCUCAGGUCACGGAUCAUACGCGGAGCUGAGACGGGGAUGAUGCAGCUCUGGCUUCUGGGGGCAGCUGGGGGCAGCGGGGCUUCGCCACGGGGAGCAGGAGACGGGGCCGCGCUUUGGUCAGAGGCAACACAGGCCGGGGCUCAGCCCGGCCCCCCCCUACCCCCCGCGGUGGGUGGGGGGGUGCUGCGGCCCC